UACCCACUAAUGCACAACAGCCCAAGCUCCAAGUUGAUUAAGGGAAUCAACUUGGCACGAUGACAACGCAGAAGAUGCCCACCUACUUUCAUCAUGCAUGUUCCCACUCUUCACAGACGACACCAUGAUGUUAAAGGGAAAAGAAAAGGCAAAAGAGAAAGCAAAAGUAAGGAAUAAACACCCCCACUAGAAUGAUGUGAUUUACUUUUUUGACAGAUGUAUGAUGUAAUUUAUUUUCCUUAUCUCUCGGAG
rnacentral:lncRNA from 1 species